GACGAACGCUGGCGGCGUGCUUAACACAUGCAAGUCGAACGGAAAGGCCCUGCUUUUGUGGGGUGCUCGAGUGGCGAACGGGUGAGUAACACGUGAGUAACCUGCCCUUGACUUUGGGAUAACUUCAGGAAACUGGGGCUAAUACCGGAUAGGAGCUCCUGCUGCAUGGUGGGGGUUGGAAAGUUUCGGCGGUUGGGGAUGGACUCGCGGCUUAUCAGCUUGUUGGUGGGGUAGUGGCUUACCAAGGCUUUGACGGGUAGCCGGCCUGAGAAGGUGACCGGCCACAUUGGGACUGGGAUACGGCCCAGACUCCUACGGGAGGCAACAGUGGGGAAUAUUGCACAAUGGGCGGAAGCCUGAUGCAGCAACGCCGCGUGCGGGAUGACGGCCUUCGGGUUGUAAACCGCUUUCGCCUGUGACGAAGCGUGAGUGACGGUAAUGGGUAAAGAAGCACCGGCUAACUACGUG
rnacentral:rRNA from 1 species